GACGAACGCUGGCGGCGCGCCUAACACAUGCAAGUCGAACGGAGCGUACUGUGUGAAGCCUUCGGGUGGAACUUUGUAUUGCUUAGUGGCGAACGGGUGAGUAACACGUGAGCAACCUGCCCUAGAGUGGGGGACAACAUCUGGAAACGGAUGCUAAUACCGCAUAAGACCACGAGGUCGCAUGACCUUGAGGCCAAAGGAUUUAUUCGCUUUAGGAUGGGCUCGCGCCUGAUUAGCUAGAUGGUGGGGUAAUGGCCUACCAUGGCAACGAUCAGUAGCCGGACUGAGAGGUCGAUCGGCCACAUUGGGACUGAGACACGGCCCAGACUCCUACGGGAGGCAGCAGUGGGGAAUAUUGGGCAAUGGGCGAAAGCCUGACCCAGCGACGCCGCGUGAGGGAAGAAGGUUUUCGGAUUGUAAACCUCUGUCUUCGGGGAAGAUAAUGACGGUACCCGAGGAGGAAGCCACGGCUAACUACGUGCCAGCCGCCGCCGUAACAC
rnacentral:rRNA from 1 species